rnacentral:rRNA from 1 species
GACGAACGCUGGCGGCGUGCUUAACACAUGCAAGUCGAACGGUGAAGCGCCUUCCUUUUUGGUGGGUGUGGAUGAGUGGCGAACGGGUGAGUAACACGUGAGUAACCUGCCCCCUUCUUCUGGAUAACCGCAUGAAAGUGUGGCUAAUACGGGAUAUUCUGGGUCUGUCGCAUGAUGGGUCUGGGAAAGAUUUUGUUUCGGUGGGGGAUGGGCUCGCGGCCUAUCAGCUUGUUGGUGGGGUGAUGGCCUACCAAGGCGGUGACGGGUAGCCGGCCUGAGAGGGUGGGCGGUCACACUGGGACUGAGACACGGCCCAGACUCCUACGGGAGGCAGCAGUGGGGAAUAUUGCACAAUGGGCGCAAGGCUGAUGCAGCGACGCCGCGGGAGGGAUGGAGGCCUGCGGGUUGUGAACCUCUUUCGCCAGUGAAGCAGGCCUGCCUCGUUUGUGGGUGGGUUGACGGUAGCUGGAUAAGAAGCGCCGGCUAACUACGUG